UAAGCCCUUACGGGGAAAGAUUUAUCGCCGAAAGAUCGGCCCGCGUCUGAUUAGCUAGUUGGUGAGGUAAUGGCUCACCAAGGCGACGAUCAGUAGCUGGUCUGAGAGGAUGAUCAGCCACAUUGGGACUGAGACACGGCCCAAACUCCUACGGGAGGCAGCAGUGGGGAAUAUUGGACAAUGGGGGGCAACCCCUGAUCCAGCCAUGCCGCGGUGAGUGAUGAAGGCCCUAGGGUUGUAAAGCUCUUUUGUGCGGGAAGAUAAUGACGGUACCGCAAGAAUAAGCCCCGGCUAACUUCGUGCCAGCAGCCGCGGUAAUACGAAGGGGGCUAGCGUUGCUCGGAAUCACUGGGCGUAAAGGGUGCGUAGGCGGGUCUUUAAGUCAGGGGUGAAAUCCUGGAGCUCAACCUCCAGAACUG
rnacentral:rRNA from 1 species